GCCUCUGUAGCUCAAUGGAAGAGCAAUUCCGUCCUAAGGAACAGGUUGGGGGUUCGAGUCCCUCCAGGGGCACCA
rnacentral:tRNA from 8 species